UACAGAGGUCCCGAGCGUUGUUCGGAUUCACUGGGCGUAAAGGGUGCGUAGGCGGUCGGGUAAGUCUGAUGUGAAAUCUCACAGCUUAACUGUGAAACUGCAUUGGAUACUAUUCGGCUUGAGAGUUGGAGGGGGGACUUGGAAUUCUUGGUGUAGCAGUAGAAAUGCGUAGAUAUCAGUAGGAACACCAAUGGCGAAGGCAGCUUGCUGGGCCACUCCUGACACUGAGGUACGAAAGCGUGGGGAGCAAACAGG
rnacentral:rRNA from 1 species